UACGUAGGGUGCGAGCGUUAAUCGGAAUUACUGGGCGUAAAGUGUGCGCAGGUGGCUGAGCAAGUCGAGUGUGAAAGCCCCGGGCUUAACCUGGGAAUUGCGCUCGAAACUACUUGGCUGGAGUGUGGCAGAGGGAGGUGGAACUCCACGUGUAGCGGUGAAAUGCGUAGAGAUGUGGAGGAACACCAAUGGCGAAGGCAGCCUCCUGGGCCAACACUGACACUCAUGCACGAAAGCGUGGGGAGCAAACAGG
rnacentral:rRNA from 1 species